rnacentral:rRNA from 1 species
GACGAACGCUGGCGGCGUGCUUAACACAUGCCAGUCGAACGGAAAGGCCCUGCUUUUGUGGGGUGCUCGAGUGGCGAACGGGUGAGUAACACGUGAGUAACCUGCCCUUGACUUUGGGAUAACUUCAGGAAACUGGGGCUAAUACCGGAUAGGAGCUCCUGCUGCAUGGUGGGGGUUGGAAAGUUUCGGUGGUUGGGGAUGGACUCGCGGCUUAUCAGCUUGUUGGUGGGGUAGUGGCUUACCAAGGCUUUGACGGGUAGCCGGCCUGAGAGGGUGACCGGCCACAUUGGGACUGAGAUACGGCCCAGACUCCUACGGGAGGCAGCAGUGGGGAAUAUUGCACAAUGGGCGGAAGCCUGAUGCAGCAACGCCGCGUGCGGGAUGACGGCCUACGGGUUGUAAACCGCUUUCGCCUGUGACGAAGCGUGAGUGACGGUAAUGGGUAAAGAAGCACCGGCUAACUACGUG